rnacentral:rRNA from 1 species
CAGUCGAGGGGCAGCAUGGUCUUAGCUUGCUAAGGCCGAUGGCGACCGGCGCACGGGUGAGUAACACGUAUCCAACCUGCCGUCUACUCUUGGACAGCCUUCUGAAAGGAAGAUUAAUACAAGAUGGCAUCAUGAGUCCGCAUGUUCACAUGAUUAAAGGUAUUCCGGUAGACGAUGGGGAUGCGUUCCAUUAGAUAGUAGGCGGGGUAACGGCCCACCUAGUCUUCGAUGGAUAGGGGUUCUGAGAGGAAGGUCCCCCACAUUGGAACUGAGACACGGUCCAAACUCCUACGGGAGGCAGCAGUGAGGAAUAUUGGUCAAUGGGCGAGAGCCUGAACCAGCCAAGUAGCGUGAAGGAUGACUGCCCUAUGGGUUGUAAACUUCUUUUAUAAAGGAAUAAAGUCGGGUAUGGAUACCCGUUUGCAUGUACUUUAUGAAUAAGGAUCGGCUAACUCCGUGCCAGCAGCCGCGGUAAUACGGAGGAUUCGAGCGUUAUCCGGAUUUAUUGGGUUUAAAGGGAGCGUAGAUGGAUGUUUAAGUCAGUUGUGAAAGUUUGCGGCUCAACCGUAAAAUUGCAGUUGAUACUGGAUAUCUUGAGUGCAGUUGAGGCAGGCGGAAUUCGUGGUGUAGCGGUGAAAUGCUUAGAUAUCACGAAGAACUCCGAUUGCGAAGGCAGCCUGCUAAGCUGCAACUGACAUUGAGGCUCGAAAGUGUGGGUAUCAAACAGGAUUAGAUACCCUGGUAGUCCACACGGUAAACGAUGAAUACUCGCUGUUUGCGAUAUACUGCAAGCGGC